UACGAAGGGGGCUAGCGUUGCUCGGAAUCACUGGGCGUAAAGGGCGCGUAGGCGGCCUCCGCAAGUCAGUUGUGAAAUCUCCGAGCUUAACUCGGAAAGGUCAACUGAUACUGCGGGGCUAGAGUGCGGAAGGGGCAACUGGAAUUCUUGGUGUAGCGGUGAAAUGCGUAGAUAUCAAGAGGAACACCUGCGGCGAAGGCGGGUUGCUGGGCCGACACUGACGCUGAGGCGCGAAAGCUAGGGGAGCGAACGGG
rnacentral:rRNA from 1 species